GUACGCUAUUCAGAGUUUGAUCCUGGCUCAGGACGAACGCUGGCGGCGUGCCUAACACAUGCAAGUCGAGCGGGGACACUGAGGAGCUUGCUCCGAGGUGUUCUAGCGGCGGACGGGUGAGUAACGCGUGAGCAACCUUUCCCAUUCAGGGGGAUAACACACCGAAAGGUGUACUAAUACCGCAUAAGAUCACAGAGCCACAUGGCUUAGGGAUCAAAAGGAGCAAUCCGGAGUGGGGUGGGCUCGCGUCUGAUUAGCUAGUUGGUGAGGUAACGGCCCACCAAGGCAACGAUCAGUAGCCGACCUGAGAGGGUGAUCGGCCACACUGGGACUGAGACACGGCCCAG
rnacentral:rRNA from 1 species